rnacentral:lncRNA from 1 species
GGAAAAUUGAGGACUGAUGGUGCAAUUUUCCAAAAUGACCCUCGUUCUCUCUAGUAUAGCUUCAGAUCGGGGCAAUAGUAUUGAGGAUGAAAUUUUAUACAAAGAAGCAGAAGAAAGGUGCAUUGUCGAGCUCGUAAAAGGUAAAUUUUCGUUAAAAGAAAUCAGGUACUAUUUUUUAUUUAUUAAGGUAUACUAUGUAUUUUCUGCCUGUAAUUUCAAUUUUCAGAUCAUGUAAUUUGAAGGAGUACUGAUAAGUAAAAAAUUAAACAAUGAUUCUGCUUAGUUUGAAUAUAACGAGGCAAUAAUUUUGCUCUGCAGUGUGGAAAGAGGAAUGUUUAAUUUUUGAUUAACUGUCACUUCUCUCUCUUUCUUUUUUUUUUUUUUUUAUAUUUUUUUUGGGUUGUCAGAAUUUUAUCCAUGGAUGUCAGAGGAGAAGCUCCUAAGUAAAUUGACUAACAAAAAUAAUUAUAGGUUAAAGUAUUUUAAAGAGGGCUCUAACUAGCACUUUUUAUUGCAUGUGUAUCUCCAUCAAUGUUACUUAUAAAGUGGCACAAGAUUGUAAGACAAAAUCACUGGAUACAACUUCAGAUGCUCAUAAGGAUCUUGAACUUUAUCAGAAUAAUGAUAAUCAUUGUUUUAAAAAUCUAUCAGGUGAGGUUUUCAUUAAAUAUCUUGCAAUUUAGGCAUUGAUUGCUUUUUGUUAAGGCUCAAGUUACGAAGCUUCUGCCUCAAGAUUAAGAGAAUGUUUGAUGGGAAUUAAAAUUAGAUUUUUUAGUAGAUUAUGAUAGAAGUUUUUGAAAUGUAUAAUUAAAAAGUUAUGGGAUCUAUGAUAGAUAUGGCUAAUAUUGAUUGUUUGACUUUGACUUAAAUUAAAAUCAAUUUAAUUACAAACCAAAUAGGCUGACGGUGGCUGAGGUGUGCAUUUAUUUGUAUUGUCCUUUUUAGACUUCUUACUAUUGGUCUUAGUGUUUUGGGCUCUUCUUUUCAGAGCUUAGAACAGUUUAGCGAUUUUUAGUUUAGUAUUUAUUGCCUUAACACUGAAGGGGAAGUGGAAGGAAAAGGAAAAGGAAAAGGAAAUGGCACCAUUCAUAAGAAUUGACUUCAACUUGAUAGUCUUGCACAAUACUUAUCUAGGACCUUGCGAACCAUAUAUUUCGAGUACACUAUCAACCGUGAACUCUAAAGUUAAACAACAGUUAAGACUCCCUUUUUUGUUGUGGGUUGGACUCCCUUUAUAUAAGUUUCAAUAUAUGCUGACGUGUCAAAUAGUUAUGAACAUGCGAGCAGGUGUCCUAGGGUUUUCUGGAUAUGCGGCUUUGAAGAUUAGAUAAGUCGUAUGGAUCUCUUGUAGAUGCCUAUUCAACGGAUGAGCUAUAAUGUGCCGACACGGACAUGUGUAUUCAAACAUGACAUGUGACGGAUACGUCGACACACCAUUUUUUUUAUUUUAAAAGUUCAAACAUGACAUGUUGAUUACAUUCUUCAUUUAUAGAGUAUAAUUUUAGUUUUAUACUUGUUAUUAAUUUUUCUUCUUGAAGUCUUUUAAAUAUGAGUACUUAUUUGUCAUUUACUAAUAAUUUUGAUUUAAAAAUAUUAAUAUUUUAAAUGUCAGACACGAAUAUGCCUCCCUAGUUGAAAUGUUCGUGUCACAGAACUGAUGAGUCAUUCAUUCUUACCUAUCAAUCUCUUGGUUGAUCCUGUGGGUCGAGAGGAUGAAACAUAUUUCGAUAAAUGACUGAAAAUGGUUUCAUGCAAUCAUUGCACGUGAUGCUUUGCUCGCAAUAUGUUCUCUAAUUCUAUCAUUAUCGGUACUAGUAUCAUUUCUUUCCCAAUUGGUGCGCUAAAGAUUUUUUUUUAAAUGUGCUCAAACCAUCUUAAUCAAUUUUCAUCCGAUUCAUAUUCAACUGGCUCCAAUUAAUGAAUAUGCUUAUUUGUUACCACUCCUCGUUUUACCACAAAUCCAUCUCAGUAUUCAUAUCUCAGCUACAUUUAACUUGUAGAGAUAAUAUUUGUUAAUAACUCAACAUCAGGAUAACUUGGUUGCUCCCACAGAACUUUGAUUUUAUUUAUGAGAUAUGUUGACGUUGGAACCCUGAACUUUUAUCUGAUUUUCUUCCAAGUACUUAUUCACUAGAAAGAUAGUUGCACAGAGCCUUCUCUUAUCUUCCAAGGCCUCCAAUUGUUACUUCCUCUCUGUAGGUACUAAACCAAGGACUAGGACUUAAAAAUAAGAAACUUAAGGAUAGUAAAUCUUUAUUGUAAUGAUGGACAAAUGAUUUAUCAGCUAGGCUGUAAUCUAAUAUAAAAAAAUAUUAAUUUAUCGUUUCUUUGAUAACAUCUCUAAAAAAAUUCAAUUAGAAAUGGACUCUGCAUUAAUUCAGAGCUGCUGGAUGCAGAAUCCAUUGGACUCUGCAGUCUGUAAGAGUUGGUUAUGUUUUCUUGAUUAACGGGCAUAGUUCUUUAUUUUUUUAAUUAAUAGGGCCACCUAAGCCAGCCUGGUAUGGGCUGGGGGGUCCUAGAGCCAAUGUAGGUGGGCUGUGCCUUCCGUGGACGGAGCUUUUAUCGAUGGACUUGGCGGGCUUGGGCCAGCCUUGUCCAUUUUUACACCAUUAACAUGGCCUGAUCUUUAAUAAAGUUCUAUAUGUUGAGAGGAAUAGGCAGCGAGAGGUUUGUUAAUUUGUUUUCUAAUUGAAGAAUAACUCUUUCCAUGAAAUUCUGUGGAAUGCAUUGGAUAACUAAGUUACUUAAACUGGUAAUUGAUACUUCUUUCACUCGAAAAAGAUCCAAAAUAGAUGCUCUUGCCACCAGAGAAGGUUGCCUCCAAAGAUGUGAUCUCUAUUGUUAAAUCAUUUGGAUGGGCUACUUAUUUUUGCGUAGUUAAUAGGAUAAUGGAAAGUUCUACACAUUCAAAUGUUUUUGUCGGAAGCAUGUGGUGGUACUAUAUCGGAUCUAGUAUCUUCAAGUCCAAUUCCUUGCUAUAACCUUACAAUAUUAUUGUUACUUACAAUUAUUAAAGCUCACGGUGUGUGAGCUUACUCGAACAAUCACAAAUCUCCACAACUCAAGAACCCUAAUCUUGGAAUGUUGGUGUCCUAUUUAUAGGCUCGCUAAGAGUCAUAAUUUAAUUCUACUAGGAUUCUCUUGAUUCCAAUUUAAGUAAGGAUUAAAAUCUCUGAGGGUGUAUCCAAAUCAUAUGGAUAAGAUCUAAGACUUCCUUACAUUGUCGCUCUAAUUGUGUCACAUAUGGCCUAAAUUCCAACAGUUUUUUAUGUGCUUGGUCCUCAAUAAUUUAAUAACUUAUUUAAGUCUUGUUUGAACAGAGUUAGUUCCGGCAAAUCAUCCUUCGUUGCUGGCCAAGAUUUUUGCUGUUGACCUCAAAUUUUGUAUAUCCAACGUGACCAGUAGGUAUCAAGGCCUCCCGUAUUCACUUAAGCAGAUUCCUGCACACUAAGACAAAUCCUUAGCCACAUGUGGCCUCCUUUGGUGGGGUGGAGUUGGCCGUGAUCACUCCAACGGCCAAGUUAGUUGAUAAUAUAAGUGUUUGAAUGUGGGAGUUGCUCUAGACACGAGCCUCUUGUAUAUAUUAAAAUAAAAGGUAUUCAACUUUAGGAGAUUUAAGAGAUGCAAAUUUGUAGUUUGAGAGUCUAAACUUGUAUUACAUUUGGAAUGGCACAUUGUGUGAGUUUUUCUAGUAAAAGAAGAUGAAUAAUAAAAAGGAGAACUAGGCAUAUUUUCAAAGGUUGAAAAAUAUAUUUCAUGAAAAAAAUGACAAUUGAACACUUCAAAAGUUGGAAUUCGAGUGGAAAAAGACCAUUUUUCAUAUAAAAAUUUCCAAACAAAUACAACCUUAUUGUUAAUACUAUUUUGUUGCCUAAAAUCAUUUACCAAGGUUAUGGAAGAUCUUCCAGUAAAACCCAUAAUGGUUCACCCCUCCAAUGGGGGUUCGGUUCCUCAAAUGGCGUAGGCUUCAGCAAAUGGAUUCGACCCUUCAUAAGGGUUCGGCCGGAGAAAUGAUGUGGAAGGCCCAGGUUUGGCUACCACAUGGUCAUGCUAGGAGCCUCGCUAGCGGAGGAGUAACAUUUUCUAAAAUAAUAUGAAGGGCAAGAUAUGUCUUGCAUUUUCUUACAUUCUAUACUUGAUCACAUGCCUUUUACCAUGCUUGAAUAUUCACAUUUGUGUAAAAGAAUGUAUCGUGGAUUUACAAGCAUCACAGAUGUUUACAUGCAUUGCUUUAUAUGAAUUUUCAACAUACACAUAUUCUGCUUAUGUUGCUAUCUUUUCCAAAGUACUGCUUCUUAUCCAUAUUCUCUGGCUCUACAAAGUUUUGUGGGAUCAACCUUAGUUCUCUCCAGUUGUUGUCCCCAUAGAGUCUGAGCAAGGCUGGCAUCAAUAGGUUGGGACUGCAAGUAGACAUUGAAAUAAGUCCUCGUUUUUCAAUUUUUUGCAUUGUUUUUUACCUGUUGAAUUUGAGUUUGUGUUGCUGUUUUUUUUUUUUUUUGGCACUUAGGUUCAAAUACAAAUAUGCAUAUAUGCACAAACCUUGAUAUAAAAAACAUGCUGAUGUCAAGGUUUUGAAUUUUAUCGUCCCUUUAGGUUCCCUUCUUAGUUGAUGAUGUGCCUUGUCGAAUUUCAUCAGAAAGGGGAAAACAUAUUGUAAUACCCAUACCUAUGGCUUAACCUAUGGCCUAAUUUUAUAAAUUUAGGUUUGCCCAAAAAAAAAAGAAAAAAAAAAAGGAAGACACGACUAAUAUUUUAGCCCGACCAAUCACUUGGAAGCCCAUUAUGUGAAAUUAUAGCCCACACCUUUUUGUUUUAUUUUUCUUUUUGGGCUUAAACCCAAGUUGUUAAAAUUUUAUUUUAUUUUAAUUAAAUAAUGGAGAUAAUGUUUUAAUUUUAUCUCUUUUGAGAUAAAAUCAAAUUCCUAUUAAAAUAAUACUUUAAUUUUAUUUAUAUUUUGUUUAAUACUAAAAGAUAAUUGAGAUAACGUUUCAAAUUUAUCCCGUUCAAUUAAAAUUGAAAUAUUAAAUCAUAAAGAUAACAUUUUGAUUUUAUCUAUACUAUAUUUAAUUUUAGAAAUUAUGGAGAUAAUUUUUUAUUUAUUUUUUAAUUCAUUAUCUUAUUCCAUUACUUGAAAUAUGGUUGAGAUAAUGAUAAGAUUUUAUCACUUUUAAGAUUCAAAGUUCAAUUGAAUUAGAACUCUCAAAGCAUAAUAACUCUAUAAAUAAGCAUCAUAUGUCUUAUUUUCAACUACAUUCAUUUCACCGUGAAAUACUUACAAAUACAAAUAAUAUAUUCUUUAAUACGUGAGUCAAGAGUUGAAGUUUCAAAUAUUCUAGUAUUUCUCUUAUCAUAUUCUUAAGAUAUGGUAAGUUUAUAAGUAUUUUUUUAUGGGAUUAUAUGCGUACAUUGGAUUUUUGGAAAAUUGAUUAUGAGGUCCUUUAUGUAUGUUCUAAGUUUGGAUCGGAAUAUAGUGGCGCUAUGCAUGAAAGUUUCAUACCACCUAUAUUCGAUAUAGAUUUUCAUGUCUCAUUGUGUAUGUAUGUAUGUAUGAAGUUCCAUAAAAUUUGUACAAAUAUUAAUCUAUAUAUUUAUAUGCUUAUUGAGAUUUUUUUUCACACCCCACCCCCACCCCCACCCCCCUUUAUCACCUUUCAAAAAAUUGACGGUUCGUGGCAAUUAAGGCAUGAGAGGGCUAGGUGGCAAGUGAAAGAAACCCACCAAGCCUAUUUUUUUAUUUAUUUAAUAACUUAUUUAAUUAUUGGUUUGAUAUUAAGAUUGCUAAGCUUCUAGUAUUUUAUUUUAUGUUGACAUCAAAAUUUUAUGUAUUCACCGUUACAAUUUCAGGGUGUUAUUUAAAUAAAUUUCAAACUUUUAAAAGUGUAAUAUGAUGUUCAAGAUACGAUUUUAGUGACACUAGAACUUUAAAAUUCGGGUCGUCACACAUAUCAAUCUAAAUUUUUAUUAAAUCUCCUCUUUGUAGCCCCAUAUACUACUAGUAAUGGGAAUCUGUGAUUAAUGUUCUUGUCCUUUCAAUUUUUGCUAUAUAAUGUGCUCCUUUUAUAAAAUCACAUUGUCGUAUAUAGUCUUUUAUGAUACCACCCAGUAAAUUGAGGAAUAGCUGUGUAAGUUAUGAGAAAACCCACCAAUUCAGAUGAAGACGAAAUUAGCAUGGUCUUUCCGACUUGCCAGUUUUGUUCACAAUCCAAAGAAUUUUUCACAUGAUGGUUCUAUAUAAUUUUCUUUGGAAGUGAUACUCUUCAUUGAAAUGCAUACCUUAUCGAAUCUCUCAUAUUUCUGACUUUAAUAAUAAUGGUAGCCUAAAUCAGUUUUUGUAUUACAAUUUUUGCCUUCAGCUCAGAAUUUAUGAUAAGCAUUCAACAUGAUUGUACCUUCAAAUUUCACCAUUCUCAUUGCCCUUCUCUUGGACUGCUAGGUUAUUGAUAAGUGUAUUUUAUACACUUUUUCGAAGCUUUAAAACAAUGAUAUUUAAUUGAUUUUCGGAUGAAUUAUGGUCUAAACUGUUGCAUUUGAUGUUGAUUAAGUAAAAUUCAAUGAUGGUACAAGCAAUUGGAAGAAUCAAAAGUGGGCAAAAUUGAAAAAAAAAAAUGGCUAAGUUGUAAGAGAUCCAAAGAAAGAUGUCAAACGGAUGAAACAAAACAAAGUAUGAUCACAUAUCAAUUUUCAAUUGAAAAAAGUUAUGUGUCGGUUUCAGUCUCAUAUUAAGACCCAUUUUUGAUAUAGUAAAUGAUCGAAUUUGAGAAUGAUGUCUGAAUCAAAAGUGUAGCCUUUUGAGUUAGCUUUCUAACACAUCUUGAAUCGCUUCAAUUGGACGUCGGGAGAAAAAAUUAUAAUAAAAAUACUAAAGGAAGCGCAGCCAGAAUUUUUUAUCCGAAGGUGGCCUAGAGGCACUGCCUGGGUGCAUCUAGGAUGCGUUUUUUGCCCAUUUUGAAAUCCAUAAAAACCUUACUUUCUGCACACACGAGGAGGCACCUAUAACUACAAAUUUCUCACACUUUUGAAGAGGGAUUUACACAUUGAGAGGUAAGGAAACACCAUUGGAAAAUCAAAGGAAGAUUUUAAGGGAGAAAAACAUUGAGGAAUUCGCUGUGUGGAGCAUCAAUUGAAAGAGGAAGAGAUUCUUGAUAUAAGAUCUAUUUUUUCUUCUACAUCUUUAAUACAAAAUUCCGUGAUGUAUUCUAUGACAAUUAAUAUUUUUUUUCAUUAUGAAUAGUUAAAAUUGUUGUUAGGGCAGAUAAUGUAACCUAUUUGGGACUCUUUAUAUAAUUUAUUUAAAAUUCUUGUUCUUUAUUCUUUCAUGUGUUGAUUUUACUAUAGAUUGAAUGCAUUAAAUUACUCAAUUACUAAUUUGAUGAGUUUAUGAAUUCUUUACGAAUAGAGAUAUAAGUUUAGGAUUUAGACUAUAUCAUAAAAUCCGGUAAAUUGGUAUAAUGAGUAGAGAUACAUAUACUAAUUAUUGCGAUCAUAAUUGAUUUCGAGGACAAAGAACUCGUUUAACUAAGCACGAUUGGCAGAGAGAUAUGGAAGUGAAUUAGUUAAAUAGGCUCAAAGAAUACAAUAGGAGAAUUCAAUCAAACACUACGUUUGGAAAGAGUCUUGAUUUAAAUUGUAAAGGUGAGCAAUAGGUGAAAUUAUUCUCCCCUAACGUCCAUUCAUAAUUUGAUUUUCAAACUAAUCGUGUGUGCAUUCACUUAUUUUCUCGUAUUUAAACUAAAACUCAAAUCCUACAAGUUUUUAUUUCAUCAAAUAGUGGUUAAAAAAAAUUGAAUUAAGUGUUAGAAUAUAGUUCUUGUCGGAUUGACAACCCGGAUUCUUACGUCCACUAUUACUUGUUACGGUCUGUAUACUUGCAGAAAUAAAAUUGACAUCAGUUAUCUUUGGGUCGAAAGCUUUGGUUGAUGGGAGGUGUACAGACCAUUGUUGGAUUGCAAAAUUACAUUAUUCUUGAAGAGAUCAAAUUUAUCUAUGGAGGAUCACUCUUCAUUAGUAUGACCCCCCUAAUUCUUUGUAAAAUUCUACCAGAGCAACUUUUUAUUUCAUUUUUCCAAUAUAUUACAUGAACAAGACUGGUGGAAUUUCUUCGUACCACCACGCAUAGCCCAAAAGGAAACGUAUGUGUAUGUUUUUGUGCAUAUGAAGUAGCUAGUUUUACCUUCCUAAUGUGUAGUUUUUUACUAUCCAUCCCCCUUCUUGUAAGAACUCUAAUUUUCAUACUUGACCUAAUGCAUG